GUACUGUGUGUCACCCCAAACACAGCAGGGUCAUGUGCAUUCUGCAGUGCUGGUUGAGGCCACUGCGUACCAGGUGGUUUAUAUGCAUUAAUGAUGGUGAGAACACUGAUGUUGGUCAUCUUCAGCAUUUUCUCCUGGUAGUCACACUUGGAUUAUGAGAUGGCUUCAUCUUUCAAUUAGAAGAUCUUUACCCCAGGUCCGAUCUGCCUAAUAUGUUGUCCCUGAAAAGAGAUGGAAAUAAAAUAAAGAACUACAAGCAAACAAAAUGUCAAGUUUGUGUCCUGU